rnacentral:tRNA from 1 species
CCCCCUCCCCUAACUCCCAAAGCUAGAAUCCUAAAUAGACUAUUCUUUG